GUAGAGCACUGUUUCGGCAAGGGGGUCAUCCCGACUUACCAACCCGAUGCAAACUGCGAAUACCGGAGAAUGUUAUCACGGGAGACACACGGCGGGUGCUAACGUCCGUCGUGAAGAGGGAAACAACCCAGACCGCCAGCUAAGGUCCCAAAGUCAUGGUUAAGUGGGAAACGAUGUGGGAAGGCCCAGACAGCCAGGAUGUUGGCUUAGAAGCAGCCAUCAUUUAAAGAAAGCGUAAUAGCUCACUGGUCGAGUCGGCCUGCGCGGAAGAUGUAACGGGGCUAAACCAUGCACCGAAGCUGCGGCAGCGACGCUUAUGCGUCGUUGGGUAGGGGAGCGUUCUGUAAGCCUGUGAAGGUGUGCUGUGAGGCAUGCUGGAGGUAUCAGAAGUGCGAAUGCUGACAUAAGUAACGAUAAAGCGGGUGAAAAGCCCGCUCGCCGAAAGACCAAGGGUUCCUGUCCAACGUUAAUCGGGGCAGGGUGAGUCGACCCCUAAGGCGAGGCCGAAAGGCGUAGUCGAUGGGAAACAGGUUAAUAUUCCUGUACUUGGUGUUACUGCGAAGGGGGGACGAGAAGGCUAUGUUGGCCGGGCGACGGUUGUCCCGGUUUAAGCGUGUAGGCUGGUUUUCCAGGCAAAUCCGGAAAAUCAAGGCUGAGGCGUGAUGACGAGGCACUACGGUGCUGAAGCAACAAAUGCCCUGCUUCCAGGAAAAGCCUCUAAGCAUCAGGUAACAUCAAAUCGUACCCCAAACCGACACAGGUGGUCAGGUAGAGAAUACCAAGGCGCUUGAGAGAACUCGGGUGAAGGAACUAGGCAAAAUGGUGCCGUAACUUCGGGAGAAGGCACGCUGAUAAUGUAGGUGAAGUCCCUCGCGGUAUGGAGCUGAAAUCAGUCGAAGAUACCAGCUGGCUGCAACUGUUUAUUAAAAACACAGCACUGUGCAAACACGAAAGUGGACGUAUACGGUGUGACGCCUGCCCGGUGCCGGAAGGUUAAUUGAUGGGGUCAGCGCAAGCGAAGCUCUUGAUCGAAGCCCCGGUAAACGGCGGCCGUAACUAUAACGGUCCUAAGGUAGCGAAAUUCCUUGUCGGGUAAGUUCCGACCUGCACGAAUGGCGUAAUGAUGGCCAGGCUGUCUCCACCCGAGACUCAGUGAAAUUGAACUCGCUGUGAAGAUGCAGUGUACCCGCGGCAAGACGGAAAGACCCCGUGAACCUUUACUAUAGCUUGACACUGAACAUUGAGCCUUGAUGUGUAGGAUAGGUGGGAGGCUUUGAAGUGUGGACGCCAGUCUGCAUGGAGCCGACCUUGAAAUACCACCCUUUAAUGUUUGAUGUUCUAACGUUGACCCGUGAUCCGGGUUGCGGACAGUGUCUGGUGGGUAGUUUGACUGGGGCGGUCUCCUCCUAAAGAGUAACGGAGGAGCACGAAGGUUGGCUAAUCCUGGUCGGACAUCAGGAGGUUAGUGCAAUGGCAUAAGCCAGCUUGACUGCGAGCGUGACGGCGCGAGCAGGUGCGAAAGCAGGUCAUAGUGAUCCGGUGGUUCUGAAUGGAAGGGCCAUCGCUCAACGGAUAAAAGGUACUCCGGGGAUAACAGGCUGAUACCGCCCAAGAGUUCAUAUCGACGGCGGUGUUUGGCACCUCGAUGUCGGCUCAUCACAUCCUGGGGCUGAAGUAGGUCCCAAGGGUAUGGCUGUUCGCCAUUUAAAGUGGUACGCGAGCUGGGUUUAGAACGUCGUGAGACAGUUCGGUCCCUAUCUGCCGUGGGCGCUGGAGAACUGAGGGGGGCUGCUCCUAGUACGAGAGGACCGGAGUGGACGCAUCACUGGUGUUCGGGUUGUCAUGCCAAUGGCACUGCCCGGUAGCUAAAUGCGGAAGAGAUAAGUGCUGAAAGCAUCUAAGCACGAAACUUGCCCCGAGAUGAGUUCUCCCUGACUCCUUGAGGGUCCUGAAGGAACGUUGAAGACGACGACGUUGAUAGGCCGGGUGUGUAAGCGCAGCGAUGCGUUGAGCUAACCGGUACUAAUGAACCGUGAGGCUUAACCUU
rnacentral:rRNA from 1 species